CUAGAAAAACAAAGCUGCAACUCUCUCUCUCUCUCCUAUCGCCACCGCCAAGUUCCUCCAUCAGUUUCACAAGAACACAAGAUGACGACGUUUCCUUCUGAUUGAAUCAUCUACGAUCCAGAAAAUACAAUCCAUCGGAUAUGUAAACCUAUCAGGUAUUCUAAUCGGGAUUUGAGAGUAAUUAGGGUUUUCUAAAACUUGUGGCUUCUUCUCUUUCCCUUAAUCAGAAACCCUAAAUCAAUCGAUGCCGCCACCACAAUCAUUCGGUUCUUAAUCAACCUCCAAAGCCGCCAUUUCAUUUCUGUGUUGCGAUAAGAAUACCUGCUAGGUUUACGAUAACAAGUUCUCGAGGUUUGCGAUAAUACAAUUGUGAGAUCUAGGGAUUUUCUUGCUGUUUCAAAUGAAAAUGUCAAUGCAGUUGUCGGUAGAUUGAUGAAUCAUAGUCCUUGUGAGGUACUGCAAUGGAGAUGCGGUGAUGGUGAUGGAAGUUUUAAUUGUUCGGCGCGUGCAGUCGAACCAAGAACUGGCAUUGAGUUCCCACAUUUUCAAAGCAAGUAAUUCAAGUUUUAAUACAGAGGAAAUGUAUUUAGAAAUGGUGCAAUAAGAAAGGGGAUAUAACCUCUGAGAUUUGCAUUCAGGUUUGGCCUUUUUUGGUCCAGAAUUUUAAUAAUUUGGUGAAUUUUUUUAUUGAAAUGCUAUUGAAUUUGACAUGUUUCAUAUAUUUAUUCACCGGAUUACGCUCUUUCACCCGCUAGAACCAAUCCAGAUGUCAUGACUAUUGAUAUCAGGCAUGCAUGGGGCCUGCAAAUUGAUCUCUGGGAUGCUCACUUCUUGGCUUUUGCUUCUGAGAAUCAGUUUCUUGAACCGGAUUAUGAUGAUUACGGUGUAUGAAGUAAUAACAGCAUUUGCGUACCUCCGGUUUAUGGUUGGCUUUCUUUGUUUGCUGCUCACAAGAGACCUCGGGAUGCUGCCAGAAGGUUCGUAAGUCCAAGAAUAGAGGCUUGUCAUUGGAAGAGAACCCGGAGAAGAUGUUUCAAAUAUUUUAUGACUCUCAAGAUUUCUACCUUCUCAAGGAACUUGAAAAGUUGUGCCCCAGAAAAGGCGUCAUCGGUCAAUCUUUUAAAGACGUUGUUCAAAGUCUGGUGGAUGAUGACCUGGUCUCGAAAGACAAAAUUGGAACCUCGGUAUACUUUGGAGUCUUUCCCAGUUAGGGCAACUGUUUGUGAAAUUUGCAUUGAUAUAGAAGGUGUGAUCUACUUUUUAUUAUGUCUUCAACCAAUUGGAAGCAAUGCUCCUGCUGGAAACGACUCUGCCCUACGUAAAGCAGAGGAUGUUGUAACCAGCAUGUUCGCAAAGGGUUUCGUGUAGACGCGGCUAGGUUUCUUCCAAUUAGAGCAAUGACGUUUAAUGAGCUGUCAAGGGGCCGAGUAUCAGCUUCGUUAAAGCUCUUCAGGUUUGAUUUCAGUUUAGGUUAAUUUGAUAUGUGUUUGCCUGUGGUUAUCGCGUGGCUAUUUUUAUUCAGAACACCCUUUAAUUUAAAUGAUACAUGUUGCUGGCUUCUCUAUUGUUUCAUGAUGCGUUAAAUUUUUUUUGUGGGAAAGUGGUUUGAUUUCAUUUCUCUAGGGUUCUUAACUAAUAUUAUUCAUGUUUUAACUUUUUUUUUUAUUUAAAGCGGGCUGAAGGGGCUCGAAUUGUUGUUAACAAGAUUCCAGGUAUAUAUGUUCGUCAUUGCUAUUUGCCUGAUGGUUCCAUUCAGGCAGGACAUCUUACAUUUCUAGGUGAUUGCUAAUGUGUCGUUCGGAGGGGAUGGGUAAUGGGUCAAAAUGGAUAGAGUUUUGGAAGAUGCACAUGUUUGGUCAUGGGUCAAAGUAUAUUUGGCUUAAAAUAAGUAAUAUUUUAGCACGCGUACACACUAGGUUGGGUUUGGUUGAUCCACAUGAUCCAAGGAAUGAGGGUGAUUUAAUUUCUAUAGUUCAUGACUGUAAAUCUGAGUUUUAUCAUCUAUUCUAAUUUUGAGGGUUUUAAACUUGCUUAUCUUGUGGGUUGAAUUAUGUAUAAUGAAAAAAAUGAUGUUGAAAAAUGAGAUUUCAUUGCUGUAAAAUGGUGGUUAAAGUGCUGAAAAGUGUGCUAUAAACAGAUGAUGAUAUUGUUGGUUGAUCAAAGCAACGUUUUGUGUUUACUAAUGAUUUUGGAUAUGUACACACUUUUAAUAGUUAUGAUUUGACUCAUGCGAAUUAUGUCUAUGCGGAUUUUUUUUCUUUUUUUAACUAAAGAAACCGAGGUUUGACGGGCUCCAACUUUUUCACUCAUUUCUCAUAUAAAUUUCACUUGACCUUAAAAGAAAGUUUUUUUAUGUGAUUUGCAGGUAAGAUUUGUUUGUUCGGAACCUAGAGUGAUGAUUAGUUCUAUAACUGAAUUAUAAUUGUGAAACUAAAGAGGGAAACGGGAGUAACGAGUCGUUUCCUGAACAAGUUGAGGAACGCGUUGAAGAAAGCAACGAUCUUGAUGCUUUUAAGAUGUUUAAGAUUUCAAAGGCAGAUGUUUUCAAGUAUCCAGACACAGUAUGUAAUUAUUCAAUCAAAUAAGAUUGAUAAAUUGAUGAAAAAGGAAGUCAAUCAUUUACGUGUAAUCAUUAAAGCUCUAUGUUAAGCAUAAAUAGUGUAUGAUGAUAUGAUUCGAGUUAUUAAAGAUUGCAGGUUUUUUCAUCACUACUUUGGUGGGGUGGUAGAGGUUUUGUGCCUCUUGGGGAGAAAUCACGGUUCAAUUCCUGGUAUGGGGUAAAACGUGGUGUAAUUUAGAAGUAGUGUUAUGUAACCUUUGCCGU